rnacentral:rRNA from 1 species
GAACGGUAACAGGAAGAAGCUUGCUUCUUUGCUGACGAGUGGCGGACGGGUGAGUAAUGUCUGGGAAACUGCCUGAUGGAGGGGGAUAACUACUGGAAACGGUAGCUAAUACCGCAUAACGUCGCAAGACCAAAGAGGGGGACCUUCGGGCCUCUUGCCAUCGGAUGUGCCCAGAUGGGAUUAGCUAGUAGGUGGGGUAACGGCUCACCUAGGCGACGAUCCCUAGCUGGUCUGAGAGGAUGACCAGCCACACUGGAACUGAGACACGGUCCAGACUCCUACGGGAGGCAGCAGUGGGGAAUAUUGCACAAUGGGCGCAAGCCUGAUGCAGCCAUGCCGCGUGUAUGAAGAAGGCCUUCGGGUUGUAAAGUACUUUCAGCGGGGAGGAAGGGAGUAAAGUUAAUACCUUUGCUCAUUGACGUUACCCGCAGAAGAAGCACCGGCUAACUCCGUGCCAGCAGCCGCGGUAAUACGGAGGGUGCAAGCGUUAAUCGGAAUUACUGGGCGUAAAGCGCACGCAGGCGGUUUGUUAAGUCAGAUGUGAAAUCCCCGGGCUCAACCUGGGAACUGCAUCUGAUACUGGCAAGCUUGAGUCUCGUAGAGGGGGGUAGA